rnacentral:rRNA from 1 species
UAACCUGCGGAGGGAUCAUUACUGAGUUACCGCUCUAUAACCCUUUGUGAACAUACCUAACCGUUGCUUCGGCGGGCAGGGGAAGCCUCUCGCGGGCCUCCCCUCCCGGCGCCGGCCCCACCACGGGGACGGGGCGCCCGCCGGAGGAAACCAAACUCUAUUUACACGACGUCUCUUCUGAGUGGCACAAGCAAAUAAUUAAAACUUUUAACAACGGAUCUCUUGGUUCUGGCAUCGAUGAAGAACGCAGCGAAAUGCGAUAAGUAAUGUGAAUUGCAGAAUUCAGUGAAUCAUCGAAUCUUUGAACGCACAUUGCGCUCGCCAGCAUUCUGGCGAGCAUGCCUGUUCGAGCGUCAUUUCAACCCUCAAGCACCGCUUGGUUUUGGGGCCCCACGGCACACGUGGGCCCUUAAAGGUAGUGGCGGACCCUCCCGGAGCCUCCUUUGCGUAGUAACUAACGUCUCGCACUGGGAUUCGGAGGGACUCUUGCCGUAAAACCCCCCAAUUUUUUACAGGUUGACCUCGGAUCAGGUAGGAAUACCCGCUGAACUUAA